rnacentral:rRNA from 1 species
CCCUUAGAUGUUCGGGGCCGCACGCGCGCUACACUGAAGGAAUCAGCACGUCUUUCUCCUUGUCCGAAAGGACUGGGUAACCCGCUGAACCUCCUUCGUGCUAGGGAUUGGGGCUUGUAAUUCUUCCCCAUGAACGAGGAAUUCCCAGUAAGCGCGAGUCAUAAGCUCGCGUUGAUUACGUCCCUGCCCUUUGUACACACCGCCUGUCGCUACUACCGAUUGGAUGGUUUAGUGAGAUCCUCGGAUUGGUCCCGGCGCGGCCUCUGGUCGUGCCGGAGUGCCGAAAAGAAUGUCGAACUUGAUCAUCUAGAGGAAGUAAAAGUCGUAACA